AGCCGCCCGCCACUCUCCUCUUUCUGCCGCCUCCACGCUCGCUUCCUCCUCCAUCCUCCCGCGUCAGUCGCACCCCCUCCUCCCCUCCCGCAUCUCGUCCACCCUGGGAUCCGGCGAGGUCGGGUCCUCGAGCCAUGGAGGCACUCGUCGCCGGUCCCUCGCAGUUGGCCUCCCGUGCGUCGCACCACCCCUCCUGCCGCCUCGGCUCUCUCCCCCCGCCUCGGCUCUCACCUCCAGCUGCAGCUCUAGAGGAGAGGAGAAGACAAAGACAGAGAGAUGGCCGCCGGUGCUGGCGCUGCUGCUGGCGUCGAUGCUGGCGGCCCCGCCGCCGACUGCUACUCCUCCACCGCCUCGCCUCUUCCUCCUCCUCGCCUUCCCAUCGCUCACGCGCAGGUCGCCCGACGGCAGGGAUGGUCAGGAAGGCUUCCCAGCCCGACGGUGCCGUCAUGGGAGCUGCAGGGCGGAGGUGAGGAUGCGUCGCUCGCGGAUUUGAUCGAGGGUGCCACGCCGCCGUCGCCGACUGGAUUUGCUCCUCCAUCGCCGCCGCGAGUCAACUCCACCGUUGUCGCCAGGAAUCCGUCCCCGGCAAGGUCUCCCUCGUUGCUCCUCCUCCUACAAUCUCUCCCACAAUGCAGGAGGAGCGGAAGGGGCCACGGAUGAGGAGGAAGGAGACUAGCAGGAGGAGGAGAUAUUCUUUUUCGAUUUGGUUCUCAUGCUGGCAUCUCCCUGCUGUCUGCUUUCCUUUUAGUUUCCAACUUUGAUGCUUGGAUUUGUUGUCUUGGCCAGCAGGAGUAGGAGGAGACAGGGAGGAUGAGGAAGGAGACAAGAAGGAGGAAGAGAAAAUCUUGCUUGCCUUAUGGACUCGCAAUAAACAGGCAAUUGGUUGGGCUACAUGAUAGACACUUUAAUAUAUCUUCUUGGAAGCCGCUUAGUGUUCCAAUGAAUAAUUGUCGCUGGUGUGGUGAACGCCUUCAUUGUUUGGUGGGCUGCUUCCUGCCUGGUGUGGUUGAAGAAUUUUCAGAGGCAAUUGGUUGGGCUACAUGAUAGACACUUUAAUAUAUCUUCUUGGAAGCCGCUUAGUGUUCCAAUGAAUAAUUGUCGCUGGUGUGGUGAACGCCUUCAUUGUUUGGUGGGUUGCUUCCUGCCUGGUGUGGUUGAAGAAUUUUCAGAGGCAAUUGGUUGGGCUACAUGAUAGACACUUUAAUAUAUCUUCUUGGAAGCCGCUUAGUGUUCCAAUGAAUAAUUGUCGCUGGUGUGGUGAACGCCUUCAUUGUUUGGUGGGCUGCUUCCUGCCUGGUGUGGUUGAAGAAUUUUCAGAGGCAAUUGGUUGGGCUACAUGAUAGACACUUUAAUAUAUCUUCUUGGAAGCCGCUUAGUGUUCCAAUGAAUAAUUGUCGCUGGUGUGGUGAACGCCUUCAUUGUUUGGUGGGCUGCUUCCUGCCUGGUGUGGUUGAAGAAUUUUCAGAGAUGUAUGUACCAUGAUGAUUGAGGAGGCGUAUCGAUGGAAAUAAAUCUGAAGAAAAUAAGUAAGUCGCCUCCAUCAGCGAGGCUGUGAACAACUCGUGGUGCCCCUGUUAACCUCCUCAAUGUUUGCGUUGUUUGCCUGUAGGUCAAAUGCCCACUAUUCAGCAGACAUGUAACUCUGUUUCUUAAAUCCCUUUCUCUAUUCAUCGCCCUGUUGAUACAUGCUUAGCAAUCAUAUAAAUUGUACUCAUAUAUAAUUUAAUAUAUCUCAGAUACAGUGUCCAGAUCAUUUAGGAACCAGCGUCACUUCAAAAAAAGAUAGGACCUGAUACACAUUACAUUCAUGGACUGCUGAUAUACCUGAUGCAUUUCUUCAUGAUGGUCGGUUUCCUUUCACCAGAUCUGACAUAUUUAAUUCUGUGUGCUUGGAACCCGAAACUGAUCGAGAUCUUCAGUUCUUACUUGCAGAUGUUCUGUUAUUCAGAGUAAUUCAGUUUCCAGUCUCUGUAUAUUAAUCAAAUUAUGGGUUAUUUUCAACCUUAUACCCUUUUAUUAUGUGUUCAGUUAUGUUUCCAUGGGUUUGCAUAUGUAUUAACAAUAAAAAACAGACUAUUAUUUUGUUUAUACUUGAACCAAAGGGUGUACAAUUAAUUUGCUCUUACGAAAGGAAUGAGUAGUCAGCUAGCUGAAUGAGAUGACAAUCAUGACAAGCGAACCAACACAUGUAGAGAAAUGUUAUUUUCCAGUUCAUUGUGAAAGAAGGCACAUAAGUUUUCAGAGUUCUAGAAUGUGUUUCAUUAAGAAACAAUUAUAACACUGUACUCUAACAAAUCACACAUAUGGAGAAAUGUUAUUUUCGAGUCUCCAUAACAUACUGAUCUUUUUUUAGAUAUAUGAACUUGCAUUCGCUUUGUUAAUUCUUCUGCAAUGCAGGUAAUAUUCCUAAUCAUUGCUGCUGACGCUGAAAAACUACUCCUGAAGCACUAGAAGUGCCCUCUCUAUGGCGCAUCACUCACUGGAUCCAGAUGGGCAACAUUCCGCUUCAAAAUUAAAGAGUACAGUUUUUGCCUGCCAUCAUUGCUUACCAAGAGUAAUCUACCAUGUGCCUAAUAUAUAUAUACAUAAUUGUUGCACCAUCACAAGAUUCCCAGGAUAUACAUGGGCAUAACUUUCUUUACUGUGAAUUAAUCGACAUGAUGCUGACAGGAGGAAAGGCAGGCUGUCAUUUCUAAAGGUUGAGAUUUUCUGUUUUAAGGAAUAGCAAUGCUAAAUUCUACAAUGGUACUCUGUCGAAUGUUUACAAAUACCACGAAGCUAGAGAUCUAUUGUGAAAACUUUCUUUCUUUUGUUUGUUAUAAGUUUUUAGUCAAAAAAACAUGACUUUUCCAUUACCAAACAAAUAUGUAAGAUUUAUUGCUUUUCUAACCGAAGUGUUCCUGACAAUUACAUAUGAGAGUACAUAUAACUGAGUUGUGCUGACUUGCUUUUUCUAAACUGGUAAGCUGGAGUCAGAGUUACAUAUGAGAGUAGAGAUAAUUAAGUUCUGCUCCUGACUUGAUUAACAAAAGCUAUAGAAGAAAGGGACCAAAUACCAGACAGCUGAAAAUUCAAAGAAAGGUGGAAGUAGGGAACUACACAACUUGAUUCAAGGUUACAAAUGGACAAAGGGCAUCUAUUGAGCAGCAGAAAACAAUAAUGGACUGAGCUAAGGAUAUAGUGGUCAAUUAGUAAAGAGAUCUGUGGUAAGUGUAGCAGCGGGACGCAAACGGAACUUUUGUGACUUACUGAAGUCGAGCAGGAGUUCAGAAAAGAAAUUGCAACCGAAGUAGAACCUCUUCACCAAGAGAACAUAGGGAUUUUAAGUUUUUUGUAGCCUGCACCGGAGACUGUAGAGUUAAGUUUCUACAUCUUAGUGUACAGUUUAACUAUAUAAGGUUACUUACUAUGUAGUAAAUAUUGGCUUUUGCCAUUGCUGAUCAAGUCCUUCUCUCUGUGCUUGGAAGCAUAAACCUA